rnacentral:rRNA from 1 species
ACGGGAGGCAGCAGUGGGGAAUAUUGGGCAAUGGGCGAAAGCCUGACCCAGCGACGCCGCGUGAGGGAAGACGGUCUUCGGAUUGUAAACCUCUUUCAGCAGGGAAGAAGAAAGUGACGGUACCUGCAGAAGAAGUCACGGCUAACUACGUGCCAGCAGCCGCGGUAAUACGUAGGUGGCGAGCGUUAUCCGGAAUUACUGGGUGUAAAGGGUGUGUAGGCGGAGGAGCAAGUCAGGUGUGAAAAUUGUGGGCUCAACCCACAAACUGCACUUGAAACUGUUCCCCUUGAGAGUGGGAGAGGUAAACGGAAUUCCUGGUGUAGUAGUGAAAUGCGUAGAUAUCAGGAGGAACACCGGUGGCGAAGGCGGUUUACUGGACCACAACUGACGCUGAGACACGAAAGCGUGGGGAGCAAACAGGAUUAGAUACCCUGGUA